GAGAGAAUUGCCCACUGUGAAUCCCCAAAAAACUGGGCAUACGCAUCUGGGACCCGAUUAGUUCUGCUGUAUCACCUCACAUCCAACAACAACAACAACAACACAAAAAAACAUGUUAAUCAGGCAAAUAACAAGCACAGAUCAUUUGUAGACUCAUCUUCUCGAGUCUCAGAGCUAACACCAUAGACUGGAUAUACUAUGGACAACUUCGUUUUGCCUUCUGCCAGUAUACGGAUUUAAAGCCGAAAAACUCUUGGUAGUUUUGCAAUUUUUCUCCAUUUCCUGAUACCAACAUUGCGCAGUAGUGUUGUACGCAUUCAGCGGGAGAGUUACUGUGAUGACUCUUGGCUAAAACAGCUUAUCCCUCGGGUGAGCUAUGCAAUCUUCGUACGCCCAUAGACUGUAUUAAGUGUCAAUCAUAGAAAACAUGAACCCCCUAAUAACUUUUAAAAAUGGAGCUGCACAGAAAAAAAGAGGACAGACCAGUCUUACUGUAACAACAUGUCAACACCGCAAGCAGGGGGGAGAAAAAUUUACAUUCUGUGUAAUAAAUUUCUAAAGUUUGUCCACAGCUCCAUAUGGGUGCUGGAAGAAGCGGGAUUUAUGACCUAUACUGCAACCUGUCACCAGAGGGUGCUGUCCUUGCAGUGUCUCCACCCAGUGAGGAGGCAGACAGAUAGCAUCAGUGUUUCCCCUUGAAUUGUGUGUGUGUGUGUGUGUGUGUGUGUGUGUGUGUGUGUGUGUGUGUGUGUGUGUGUGUGUGUGAGUGGGGUGGGGUGGGGGGGGUCAUUGUAACCCCCACUGUCUUGCCGCUCCAGGAGCUACGCCGUUUCAUUCUCAUUACGUUACACAUGCUACUCGCUAUACAGACCAUGUAUAAGCUUAAAUGUUACCCUUCACAUUAGUGAAAGAGGGUCUGACAGGAUUUGAUGCACUCGUUGAUGACUCAAAACAAGUAAGAAAUAACGUUGUGUGUUAUUGUGUUCACACAGAGUGAGUUAGGGUUGGAGCUAGGGUUAGGGUUAGGGUUAGGGUUGGAGUUAGGGUUAGUGUUGGAGCUAGGGUUAGGGUUGGGCUUGGAGCUAGGAUUUUUCUGAGUGCAAUGAACCAACUCCCGAAUCUCUAGGACGUUCCUAAAAAAAUUUGAUUUUUUCCCAUAGGAAUGCAUGGGUUAGGGUUAGGGUUAGGGUUGGAGCUAGGGUUAGGGUUAGGGUUAGGGUUGGAGUUAGGGUUAGUGUUGGAGCUAGGGUUAGGGUUGGGCUUGGAGCUAGGAUUUUUCUGAGUGCAAUGAACCAACUACCGAGUCUCUAGGACGUUCCUAAAAAAAUUUGAUUUUUUCCCAUCGGAAUGCAUGGGUUAGGGUUAGGUGUGGGGUUGGAGCUAGGGUUAGGGUUAGGGUUAGGGUUGGAGUUAGGGUUAGUGUUGGAGCUAGGGUUAGGGUUGGGCUUGGAGCUAGGAUUUUUCUGAGUGCAAUGAACCAGCUCCUGAGUCUCUAGGACGUUCCUAAAAAAAUUUGAUUUUUUCCCAUAGGAAUGCAUGGGUUAGGGUUAGGGUUAGGGUUGGAGCUAGGGUUAGGGUUAGGGUUAGGGUUGGAGUUAGGGUUAGUGUUGGAGCUAGGGUUAGGGUUGGGCUUGGAGCUAGGAUUUUUCUGAGUGCAAUGAACCAACUCCCGAGUCUCUAGGACGUUCCUAAAAAAAUUUGAUUUUUUCCCAUAGGAAUGCAUGGGUUAGGGUUAGGGUUAGGGUUGGAGCUCGGGUUAGGGUUAGGGUUAGGGUUGGAGUUAGGGUUAGUGUUGGAGCUAGGGUUAGGGUUAGUGUUGGAGCUAGGAUUUUUCUGAGUGCAAUGAACCAACUCCCGAGUCUCUAGGACGUUCCUAAAAAAAUUUGAUUUUCUUCCAUAGGAAUGCAUGGGUUAGGGUUAGGGUUAGGGUUGGAGCUAGGGUUAGGGUUAGGGUUAGGGUUGGAAUUAGGGUUAGUGUUGGAGCUAGGGUUAGGGUUGGGCUUGGAGCUAGGAUUUUUCUGAGUGCAAUGAACCAACUCCCGAAUCUCUAGGACGUUCCUAAAAAAAAUUGAUUUUUUCCCAUAGGAAUGCAUGGGUUAGGGUUAGGGUUAGGGUUGGAGCUAGGGUUAGGGUUAGGGUUAGGGUUGGAGUUAGGGUUAGUGUUGGAGCUAGGGUUAGGGUUGGGCUUGGAGCUAGGAUUUUUCUGAGUGCAAUGAACCAACUCCCGAGUCUCUAGGACGUUCCUAAAAAAAUUUGAUUUUUUUCCAUAGAAAUGCAUGGGUUAGGGUUAGGGUUAGGGUUGGAGCUAGGGUUAGGGUUAGGGUUAGGGUUGGAGUUAGGGUUAGUGUUGGAGCUAGGGUUAGGGUUGGGCUUGGAGCUAGGAUUUUUCUGAGUGCAAUGAACCAACUCCCGAGUCUCUAGGACGUUCCUAAAAAAAUUUGAUUUUUUUCCAUAGGAAUGCAUGGGUUAGGGUUAGGGUUAGGGUUGGAGCUAGGGUUAGGGUUAGGGUUAGGGUUGGAAUUAGGGUUAGUGUUGGAGCUAGGGUUAGGGUUGGGCUUGGAGCUAGGAUUUUUCUGAGUGCAAUGAACCAACUCCCGAGUCUCUAGGACGUUCCUAAAAAAUUUUUAUUUUUUCCCAUAGGAAUGCAUGGGUUAGGGUUAGGGUUAGGGUUGGAGCUAGGGUUAGGGUUAGGGUUAGGGUUGGAGUUAGGGUUAGUGUUGGAGCUAGGGUUAGGGUUGGGCUUGGAGCUAGGAUUUUUCUGAGUGCAAUGAACCAACUACCGAGUCUCUAGGACGUUCCUAAAAAAAUUUGAUUUUUUCCCAUAGGAAUGCAUGGGUUAGGGUUAGGGUUAGGGUUGGAGCUAGGGUUAGGGUUAGGGUUAGGGUUAGGGUUAGGGUUGGAGUUAGGGUAAGUGUUGGAGCUAGGGUUAGGGUUGGGCUUGGAGCUAGGAUUUUUCUGAGUGCAAUGAACCAACUCCCGAAUCUCUAGGACGUUCCUAAAAAAAUUUGAUUUUUUCCCAUAGGAAUGCAUGGGUUAGGGUUAGGGUUAGGGUUAGGGUUGGAGCUAGGGUUAGGGUUAGGGUUAGGGUUGGAGUUAGGGUUAGUGUUGGAGCUAGGGUUAGGGUUGGGCUUGGAGCUAGGAUUUUUCUGAGUGCAAUGAACCAACUCCCGAGUCUCUAGGACGUUCCUAAAAAAAUUUUAUUUUUUCCCAUAGGAAUGCAUGGGUUAGGGUUAGGGUUAGGGUUGGAGCUAGGGUUAGGGUUAGGGUUAGGGUUGGAGUUAGGGUUAGUGUUGGAGCUAGGGUUAGGGUUGGGCUUGGAGCUAGGAUUUUUCUGAGUGCAAUGAACCAACUACCGAGUCUCUAGGACGUUCCUAAAAAAAUUUGAUUUUUUCCCAUAGGAAUGCAUGGGUUAGGGUUAGGGUUAGGGUUGGAGCUGCUAGGGUUAGGGUUAGGGUUAGGGUUGGAGUUAGGGUUAGUGUUGGAGCUAGGGUUAGGGUUGGGCUUGGAGCUAGGAUUUUUCUGAGUGCAAUGAACCAACUCCCGAGUCUCUAGGACGUUCCUAAAAAAAUUUGAUUUUUUCCCAUAGGAAUGCAUGGGUUAGGGUUAGGGUUAGGGGUGGGGUUGGAGCUAGGGUUAGGGUUAGGGUUAGGGUUGGAGUUAGGGUUAGUGUUGGAGCUAGGGUUAGGGUUGGGCUUGGAGCUAGGAUUUUUCUGAGUGCAAUGAACUAACUCCCGAGUCUCUAGGACGUUCCUAAAAAAAUUUGAUUUUUUUCCAUAGGAAUGCAUGGGUUAGGGUUAGGGUUAGGGUUGGAGCUAGGGUUAGGGUUAGGGUUGGAGUUAGGGUUAGUGUUGGAGCUAGGGUUAGGGUUGGGCUUGGAGCUAGGAUUUUUCUGAGUGCAAUGAACCAACUCCCGAGUCUCUAGGACAUUCCUAAAAAAAUUUGAUUUUCUUCCAUAGGAAUGCAUGGGUUAGGGUUAGGGUUAGGGUUGGAGCUAGGGUUAGGGUUAGGGUUAGGGUUGGAGUUAGGGUAAGUGUUGGAGCUAGGGUUAGGGUUGGGCUUGGAGCUAGGAUUUUUCUGAGUGCAAUGAACCAACUCCCGAGUCUCUAGGACGUUCCUAAAAAAAUUUGAUUUUUUUCCAUAGGAAUGCAUGGGUUAGGGUUAGGGUUAGGGAUGGAGCUAGGGUUAGGGUUAGGGUUAGGGUUGGAGUUAGGGUUAGUGUUGGAGCUAGGGUUAGGGUUGGGCUUGGAGCUAGGAUUUUUCUGAGUGCAAUGAACCAACUCCCGAGUCUCUAGGACGUUCCUAAAAAAAUUUGAUUUUUUUCCAUAGGAAUGCAUGGGUUAGGGUUAGGGUUAGGGUUGGAGCUAGGGUUAGGGUUAGGGUUAGGGUUGGAGUUAGGGUUAGUGUUGGAGCUAGGGUUAGGGUUGGGCUUGGAGCUAGGAUUUUUCUGAGUGCACUGAACCAACUCCCGAGUCUCUAGGACGUUCCUAAAAAAAUUUGAUUUUUUCCCAUAGGAAUGCAUGGGUUAGGGUUAGGGUUAGGGUUGGAGCUAGGGUUAGGGUUAGGGUUAGGGUUGGAGUUAGGGUUAGUGUUGGAGCUAGGGUUAGGGUUGGGCUUGGAGCUAGGAUUUUUCUGAGUGCAAUGAACCAACUCUCGAGUCUCUAGGACGUUCCUUAAAAAAAAUUGAUUUUUUUCCAUAGGAAUGCAUGGGUUAGGGUUAGGGUUAGGGUUGGAGCUAGGGUUAGGGUUAGGGUUGGAGUUAGGGUUAGUGUUGGAGCUAGGGUUCGGGUUGGGCUUGGAGCUAGGAUUUUUCUGAGUGCAAUGAACCAACUCCCGAGUCUCUAGGACGUUCCUAAAAAAAUUUGAUUUUUUCCCAUAGGAAUGCAUGGGUUAGGGUUAGGGUUAGGGUUGGAGCUAGGGUUAGGGUUAGGGUUAGGGUUGGAGUUAGGGUUAGUGUUGGAGCUAGGGUUAGGGUUGGGCUUGGAGCUAGGAUUUUUCUGAGUGCAAUGAACCAACUCCCGAGUCUCUAGGACGUUCCUAAAAAAAUUUGAUUUUUUUCCAUAGGAAUGCAUGGGUUAGGGUUAGGGUUAGGGUUGGAGCUAGGGUUAAGGUUAGGGUUAGGGUUGGAGUUUGGGUUAGUGUUGGAGCUAGGGUUAGGGUUGGGCUUGGAGCUAGGAUUUUUCUGAGUGCAAUGAACCAACUCCCGAGUCUCUAGGACGUUUCUAAAAAAAUUUGAUUUUUUUCCAUAGGAAUGCAUGGGUUAGGGUUAGGGUUAGGGUUGGAGCUAGGGUUAGGGUUAGGGUUAGGGUUGGAGUUAGGGUUAGUGUUGGAGCUAGGGUUAGGGUUGGGCUUGGAGCUAGGAUUUUUCUGAGUGCAAUGAACCAACUCCCGAGUCUCUAGGACGUUUCUAAAAAAAUUUGAUUUUUUUCCAUAGGAAUGCAUGGGUUAGGGUUAGGGUUAGGGUUGGAGCUAGGGUUAGGGUUAGGGUUAGGGUUGGAGUUAGGGUUAGUGUUGGAGCUAGGGUUAGGGUUGGGCUUGGAGCUAGGAUUUUUCUGAGUGCAAUGAACCAACUCCCGAGUCUCUAGGACGUUCCUAAAAAAAUUUGAUUUUUUCCCAUAGGAAUGCAUGGGUUAGGGUUAGGGUUAGGGUUGGAGCUAGGGUUAGGGUUAGGGUUAGGGUUGGAGUUAGGGUUAGUGUUGGAGCUAGGGUUAGGGUUGGGCUUGGAGCUAGGAUUUUUCUGAGUGCAAUGAACCAACUCCCGAGUCUCUAGGACGUUUCUAAAAAAAAUUGAUUUUUUUCCAUAGGAAUGCAUGGGUUAGGGUUAGGGUUAGGGUUGGAGCUAGGGUUAGGGUUAGGGUUAGGGUUGGAGUUAGGGUUAGUGUUGGAGCUAGGGUUAGGGUUGGGCUUGGAGCUAGGAUUUUUCUGAGUGCAAUGAACCAACUCCCGAGUCUCUAGGACGUUUCUAAAAAAAUUUGAUUUUUUUCCAUAGGAAUGCAUGGGUUAGGGUUAGGGUUAGGGUUGGAGCUAGGGUUAGGGUUAGGGUUAGGGUUGGAGUUAGGGUUAGUGUUGGAGCUAGGGUUAGGGUUGGGCUUGGAGCUAGGAUUUUUCUGAGUGCAAUGAACUAACUCCCGAGUCUCUAGGACGUUCCUAAAAAAAUUUGAUUUUUUUCCAUAGGAAUGCAUGGGUUAGGGUUAGGGUUAGGGUUGGAGCUAGGGUUAGGGUUAGGGUUAGGGUUGGAGUUAGGGUUAGUGUUGGAGCUAGGGUUAGGGUUGGGCUUGGAGCUAGGAUUUUUCUGAGUGCAAUGAACCAACUCCCGAGUCUCUAGGACGUUCCUAAAAAAAAUUGAUUUUUUUCCAUAGGAAUGCAUGGGUUAGGGUUAGGGUUAGGGUUGGAGCUAGGGUUAGGGUUAGGGUUAGGGUUGGAGUUAGGGUUAAUGUUGGAGCUAGGGUUAGGGUUGGGCUUGGAGCUAGGAUUUUUCUGAGUGCAAUGAACCAACUCCCGAAUCUCUAGGACGUUCCUAAAAAAAUUUGAUUUUUUCCCAUAGGAAUGCAUGGGUUAGGGUUAGGGUUAGGGUUAGGGUUGGAGCUAGGGUUAGGGUUAGGGUUAGGGUUGGAGUUAGGGUUAGUGUUGGAGCUAGGGUUAGGGUUGGGCUUGGAGCUAGGAUUUUUCUGAGUGCAAUGAACCAACUCCCGAGUCUCUAGGACGUUCCUAAAAAAAUUUUAUUUUUUCCCAUAGGAAUGCAUGGGUUAGGGUUAGGGUUAGGGUUGGAGCUAGGGUUAGGGUUAGGGUUAGGGUUGGAGUUAGGGUUAGUGUUGGAGCUAGGGUUAGGGUUGGGCUUGGAGCUAGGAUUUUUCUGAGUGCAAUGAACCAACUACCGAGUCUCUAGGACGUUCCUAAAAAAAUUUGAUUUUUUCCCAUAGGAAUGCAUGGGUUAGGGUUAGGGUUAGGGUUGGAAGGGUAGGGUUAGGGUUAGGGUUAGGGUUGGAGUUAGGGUUAGUGUUGGAGCUAGGGUUAGGGUUGGGCUUGGAGCUAGGAUUUUUCUGAGUGCACUGAACCAACUCCCGAGUCUCUAGGACGUUCCUAAAAAAAUUUGAUUUUUUCCCAUAGGAAUGCAUGGGUUAGGGUUAGGGGGUGGGGUUGGAGCUAGGGUUAGGGUUAGGGUUAGGGUUGGAGUUAGGGUUAGUGUUGGAGCUAGGGUUAGGGUUGGGCUUGGAGCUAGGAUUUUUCUGAGUGCAAUGAACUAACUCCCGAGUCUCUAGGACGUUCCUAAAAAAAUUUGAUUUUUUUCCAUAGGAAUGCAUGGGUUAGGGUUAGGGUUAGGGUUGGAGCUAGGGUUAGGGUUAGGGUUAGGGUUGGAGUUAGGGUUAGUGUUGGAGCUAGGGUUAGGGUUGGGCUUGGAGCUAGGAUUUUUCUGAGUGCAAUGAACCAACUCCCGAGUCUCUAGGACAUUCCUAAAAAAAUUUGAUUUUCUUCCAUAGGAAUGCAUGGGUUAGGGUUAGGGUUGGAGCUAGGGUUAGGGUUAGGGUUAGGGUUGGAGUUAGGGUAAGUGUUGGAGCUAGGGUUAGGGUUGGGCUUGGAGCUAGGAUUUUUCUGAGUGCAAUGAACCAACUCCCGAGUCUCUAGGACGUUCCUAAAAAAAUUUGAUUUUUUUCCAUAGGAAUGCAUGGGUUAGGGUUAGGGUUAGGGAUGGAGCUAGGGUUAGGGUUAGGGUUAGGGUUGGAGUUAGGGUUAGUGUUGGAGCUAGGGUUAGGGUUGGGCUUGGAGCUAGGAUUUUUCUGAGUGCAAUGAACCAACUCCCGAGUCUCUAGGACGUUCCUAAAAAAAUUUGAUUUUUUUCCAUAGGAAUGCAUGGGUUAGGGUUAGGGUUAGGGUUGGAGCUAGGGUUAGGGUUAGGGUUAGGGUUGGAGUUAGGGUUAGUGUUGGAGCUAGGGUUAGGGUUGGGCUUGGAGCUAGGAUUUUUCUGAGUGCAAUGAACCAACUCCCGAGUCUCUAGGACGUUCCUAAAAAAAUUUGAUUUUUUUCCAUAGGAAUGCAUGGGUUAGGGUUAGGGUUAGGGUUGGAGCUAGGGUUAGGGUUAGGGUUAGGGUUGGAGUUAGGGUUAGUGUUGGAGCUAGGGUUAGGGUUGGGCUUGGAGCUAGGAUUUUUCUGAGUGCAAUGAACCAACUCCCGAGUCUCUAGGACGUUCCUUAAAAAAAAUUGAUUUUUUUCCAUAGGAAUGCAUGGGUUAGGGUUAGGGUUAGGGUUGGAGCUAGGGUUAGGGUUAGGGUUGGAGUUAGGGUUAGUGUUGGAGCUAGGGUUCGGGUUGGGCUUGGAGCUAGGAUUUUUCUGAGUGCAAUGAACCAACUCCCGAGUCUCUAGGACGUUCCUAAAAAAAUUUGAUUUUUUCCCAUAGGAAUGCAUGGGUUAGGGUUAGGGUUAGGGUUGGAGCUAGGGUUAGGGUUAGGGUUAGGG